UGGUGCAGGUGAUGCAUUUAUUGGAGCAGUUCUGUAUGCUCUCUGUGCCAAUAUGCCACCAGAAAGAAUGUUGUCAUUUGCUUCUCAAGUGGCAGCUAUCGGGUGUAGGGCAUUGGGAGCAAGAGCUGGUCUUCCCCAACUAACAGACCCUCGAUUGAAACCCUUUUUAUUGAACGAUCCCCAAAAUGUGGCCACAUUGCUAUAGAAGAGAACA